UACGAAGGGGGGCUAGCGUUGUUCGGAUUUACUGGGCGUAAAGCGCACGUAGGCGGAUCGAUCAGUCAGGGGUGAAAUCCCCAGAGCUCAACUCUGGAACUGCCUUUUGAUACUGUCGAUCUGGAGUAUGGAAGAGGUGAGUGGAAUUCCGAGUGUAGAGGUGAAAUUCGUAGAUAUUCGGAGGAACACCAGUGGCGAAGGCGGCUCACUGGUCCAUUACUGACGCUGAGGUGCGAAAGCGUGGGGAGCAAACAGG
rnacentral:rRNA from 1 species